rnacentral:lncRNA from 1 species
CUUGUCCCCCCAGGCUGGGGGCUGGGUGGGAGGGAAGUGUUAUCCCAGUCCAGCCCCAGAUCACCCAAGGUUCCUGCUGUCACCAGCAGCGAGAGAGGAACCUCUUGGACAAGGAUUCAGCAGCCGUGUCAGGUGGCUGCGCCAUCUCUGCUCAUUUAAGGUUUCCAUCUCUGGAGGUCUUGUCGCUGGAUGACAAUCGUCUGUCAGACCCGAGCGUCUUUGUGAGCCUGUCUCACCUCGGCAGCUUGAAGGAGCUGAAUCUGGACAAGAACAGGAUUUCAGCUGCCCCCUACAUGCACCAAGCAGAGAGCGGGCAGUUCUUCCUCCACCCUGCGCUGGAUGGCGACGGCUUCAGGGUACAAAGCCCUGAGCAGCCUCUGGCAGGAGUCUCAGGCACUGCGGCAGGAGGGCACGGAGGUGCCAGCAGAGCUGGAAGCUAAGGAAGGACAGCUUGAAUAUGUCAUGUCACAAACCAACAGGGAUCCAGGCAGGACGGGUGAGUGGCGCCUGCCUCUUCCUCCCCGCGCUGAAACCACGGGGUGUU